rnacentral:rRNA from 1 species
UACAGAGGGUGCAAGCGUUAAUCGGAGUUACUGGGCGUAAAGGGCGCGUAGGCGGUUAGAUGUGUGAGAUGUGAAAUCCCUGGGCUUAACCUAGGAACUGCAUCUUAAACUGUCUGACUGGAGUACUGUAGAGGGUAGUGGAAUUUCCGGUGUAGCGGUGAAAUGCGUAGAGAUCGGAAGGAACACCAGUGGCGAAGGCGGCUCACUGGUCCAUUACUGACGCUGAGGUGCGAAAGCGUGGGGAGCAAACAGG